rnacentral:rRNA from 1 species
GCUGGCGGCAGGCUUAACACAUGCAAGUCGAGCGGGCACUUUCGGGUGUCAGCGGCGGACGGGUGAGUAACGCGUGGGAACGUGCCUUCUGGUUCGGAAUAACUCAGGGAAACUAGGGCUAAUACCGGAUACGCCCUUUUGGGGAAAGGCUUGCUGCCGGAGGAUCGGCCCGCGUCUGAUUAGCUAGUUGGUGGGGUAACGGCCUACCAAGGCGACGAUCAGUAGCUGGUCUGAGAGGAUGAUCAGCCACACUGGGACUGAGACACGGCCCAGACUCCUACGGGAGGCAGCAGUGGGGAAUAUUGGACAAUGGGCGCAAGCCUGAUCCAGCCAUGCCGCGUGAGUGAUGAAGGCCUUAGGGUUGUAAAGCUCUUUUAUCCGGGACGAUAAUGACGGUACCGGAGGAAUAAGCCCCGGCUAACUUCGUGCCAGCAGCCGCGGUAAUACGAAGGGGGCUAGCGUUGCUCGGAAUCACUGGGCGUAAAGGGCGCGUAGGCGGCGUUUUAAGUCGGGGGUGAAAGCCUGUGGCUCAACCACAGAAUGGCCUUCGAUACUGGGACGCUUGAGUAUGGUAGAGGUCGGUGGAAC